rnacentral:rRNA from 1 species
AGUGAACGCUGGCGGUAGGCCUAACACAUGCAAGUCGAACGGCAGCACAGUAAGAGCUUGCUCUUACGGGUGGCGAGUGGCGGACGGGUGAGGAAUAAAUCGGAAUCUACUUUUUCGUGGGGGAUAACGUAGGGAAACUUACGCUAAUACCGCAUACGACCUACGGGUGAAAGCAGGGGAUCUUCGGACCUUGCGCGAUUGAAUGAGCCGAUGUCGGAUUAGCUAGUUGGCGGGGUAAAGGCCCACCAAGGCGACGAUCCGUAGCUGGUCUGAGAGGAUGAUCAGCCACACUGGAACUGAGACACGGUCCAGACUCCUACGGGAGGCAGCAGUGGGGAAUAUUGGACAAUGGGCGCAAGCCUGAUCCAGCCAUACCGCGUGGGUGAAGAAGGCCUUCGGGUUGUAAAGCCCUUUUGUUGGGAAAGAAAGGCAGCAGGUUAAUACCCCGCUGUUCUGACGGUACCCAAAGAAUAAGCACCGGCUAACUUCGUG